CGUGCUUAACACAUGCAAGUCGAACGAUGAACCACUUCGGUGGGGAUUAGUGGCGAACGGGUGAGUAACACGUGGGCAAUCUGCCCUGCACUCUGGGACAAGCCCUGGAAACGGGGUCUAAUACCGGAUACUGAUCAUCUUAGGCAUCUUGGAUGAUCGAAAGCUCCGGCGGUGCAGGAUGAGCCCGCGGCCUAUCAGCUAGUUGGUGAGGUAAUGGCUCACCAAGGCGACGACGGGUAGCCGGCCUGAGAGGGCGACCGGCCACACUGGGACUGAGACACGGCCCAGACUCCUACGGGAGGCAGCAGUGGGGAAUAUUGCACAAUGGGCGAAAGCCUGAUGCAGCGACGCCGCGUGAGGGAUGACGGCCUUCGGGUUGUAAACCUCUUUCAGCAGGGAA
rnacentral:rRNA from 1 species